AUGACCACAUCACAUUGAAACGCCAGUUCCUGUACGAUCACCAAAGUUAAGCAGUGUUGAGUGUGAUUAGUACCAAGAUGGGUGACCAUUUUGGAAUACCAUAUGCUGUAAU